UACGAAGGGUGCUAGCGUUGCUCGGAAUCACUGGGCGUAAAGGGCGCGUAGGCGGCGUUUUAAGUCGGGGGUGAAAGCCUGUGGCUCAACCACAGAAUGGCCUUCGAUACUGGGACGCUUGAGUAUGGUAGAGGUUGGUGGAACUGCGAGUGUAGAGGUGAAAUUCGUAGAUAUUCGCAAGAACACCGGUGGCGAAGGCGGCCAACUGGACCAUUACUGACGCUGAGGCGCGAAAGCGUGGGGAGCAAACAGG
rnacentral:rRNA from 1 species